UCCCCUCCUCCCAAGGUGCCAAUCCUUGCCGCUCGGAUCGUCGUCUCGUGGUGCGAAUCUCCAACCGUUUUGGUGGAGAGAAGAAGGGAGGAAGAAAAGGGGGAGAACCCAAGGCACCUAAUUUCUGCUUUGGGGAAUAGAGGGAUGUACCAGCACGGCCACUACACCUUUAAUAAAGGAACCACCAUUUAAUAAUGUUGUUAAUCAGAGUUGGACAAGACUAGUGAAUUGCUUUGUUCUUGGUUGAGCGUUUAUUUUGGGGUGGGCUGAGUUUCUUAUCCCAUUUGUUUUACUUCAGUUGGGUCAUAAUUAGGUUUUACCACUUUUGCAUUAUAGUUUCUACUAUGUGAGUUAUAUGUCUUUAUAUCUUGUAUGAGCUUCAUGUUUCCCCUCCUUGUUAUGCUAGUUUUCAAAAGAGGUGCUGCCGGAUUUUUUCUUGCUUUA